rnacentral:lncRNA from 1 species
GUCCUUCAUGACAAUAAAAUCUUGAAAGAAACACAUCACAUUUUAAGAAGCAAAAUUGCUAUAAAAAGUCUGAGUAGUGAAUUCAAAUAAAAUAAAUCCAAUAUUGUACACACAAUGACACCAAAAGAUUUAAAAUAUUGCAAAUAAUAAUCCAAAAUGAGAAUCUUGAAGGGUCAUGUGAAGAAAAGAACAACAUAUCCCUCUGAAAAUUUAAACUGUAAACACCUGAGCAGCUAUUUCUUGUUUCACUGGCAGCUGGACAAUACUAUGUAUAAGGGUUAGAAUUUUAAAGAAGCAUUUUGGUGUAAAAACAGUUUAAAUUUUCAAACAAAUUAAUACAUAUUUAUUUUAAUCUUUUACUGAUUUAGAAUUUUAGGUAAAAAAUAGAUAAAUCAUAUAUAUCAGGGAUUUAAAACAAUGAAAACCAAAACUAUUUUCUUCCCUAUCAAUUUUUAAUAGAAUAAUCCUAGGUAAGAAAAUCUUCAGGAAAAAAGCAUGCUGAAACUUUGGGUUAGGUGAAUAAAAAUCUGUACAGG